rnacentral:rRNA from 1 species
UACAGAGGUCUCAAGCGUUGUUCGGAUUCAUUGGGCGUAAAGGGUGUGUAGGUGGCGCGCUAAGUCGGGUGUGAAAUUUCGGAGCUUAACUCCGAAACUGCAUUCGAUACUGGCGUGCUUGAGGACUGGAGAGGAGACUGGAAUUCCUGGUGUAGCGGUGAAAUGCGCAGAUAUCAGGAGGAACACCGAUGGCGAAGGCAGGUCUCUGGGCAUUAACUGACGCUGAGGAGCGAAAGCAUGGGGAGCGAACAGG